rfam:Vicugna pacos cont1.418324, whole genome shotgun sequence.
UAUCAGAGAAUAAUUUCUCUCUCCUUAAUCACCUUUCUGCCAUGGAUGAGGCUAGGUGGUUACAGAAAC